rnacentral:rRNA from 1 species
UGGGGAAUCUUCCGCAAUGGACGAAAGUCUGACGGAGCAACGCCGCGUGAGUGAAGAAGGCCUUCGGGUUGUAAAGCUCUGUCUUUGGGGACGAACGUGGAUAUGGUAAAUAAUCAUAACUAAUGACGGUACUCGAGGAGGAAGCCACGGCUAACUACGUGCCAGCAGCCGCGGUAAUACGUAGGUGGCAAGCGUUGUCCGGAAUUAUUGGGCGUAACGCGCGCGCAGGCGGAUUCGUAAGUCUACUUUAAAAGUGCGGAGCUCAACUCCGUGAGGGGGUAGAAACUGCGGAGCUUGAGGAUCGGAGAGGAAAGUGGAAUUCCCAGUGUAGCGGUGAAAUGCGUGGAUAUUGGGAGGAACACCAGUGGCGAAGGCGACUUUCUGGACGAUAACUGACGCUGAGGCGCGAAAGCCAGGGGAGU